rnacentral:tRNA from 1 species
GGAGAAUUGUCCGAGCGGCUGAAGGAGCACGGUUGGAAACCGUGUAUACGUCUAACGGCGUAUCAAGGGUUCGAAUCCCUUAUUCUCCG